rnacentral:rRNA from 1 species
CAGCCGCCGCGGUAAUACCGGCGGCCCGAGUGGCGGUCACUAUUAUUGGGCUUAAAGCGUCCGUAGCCGGGUUGGGAAGUCCUCCGGGAAAUCUGGCCGCUUAACGGUCAGAAUGCCGGAGGAUACUCCCAGCCUAGGGAGCGGGAGAGGCCGAGGGGAUUCCCGGAGUAGGGGUGAAAUCCUAUAAUCCCGGGAGGACCACCUGGGGCGAACGCGCUCGGCUGGAACGCGUCCGACGGUGAGGGACGAAGGCCAGGGGAGCAGACCGGAUUAGAUACCCGGGUAGUCCUGGCUGUAAACGAUGCGGACUUUGUGUCGGACAAGCUAUGAGCUUGUCCGGUGCCGGAGGGAAACCGUUAAGUCCGCCGCCUGGGGAGUACGGCCGCAAGGCUGAAACUUAAAGGAAUUGGCGGG